rnacentral:lncRNA from 1 species
GCUGGAGGGAAUGUGGAACUGAGAUCUGGCCCUUAGUAUAAUCUUCUCGUCUCUUUCUCUCUCCCUCUCCCUCUCUUUCUGUAUAGAUCUGGCACGGCCUUGCUCUCUCGACUCCCAGAUCUUUGUUUCGGUGGCGGCGGCCAGAAAGAGUAAGAGAGCGCUGUGCUCUCAUUUCCCUCUGUCCCCCCCCCCUUUAAAAGUCUCCUCUUCCAACUUUCCUCCAGUUAUUCCCUCCUCAACCCGACUGACAGCAUUUGCUGAAAAAUCUACAGCUUUGUUUGUCUUAUAUGGUGGAAAUAUGGUCAUUUGCAUUGAGAAGACCUGCCAGAAUAGCAGAACAUCUGGAAAGCUGCCCAAAGUCACCAAUUCAUCAAGCCUGUUCCCCAUCUACCUGAAGCAAAUUCUAAUCAAGCAGAACAUACAAACUGGAAGAAGAAGCAACUCAUGGAGUUCUCUAGCAGCUCUUCUUCCCUACAAACGAUGUUGUGAAUCAUUAACAGACUUCAAAGCAAACAGACUAGACAGGAAGACAUUGGGCAUCAUUCCCUGGUUGAACAAACAUCUGGUGAGGGAUGUUGUCUUUCCAAGUCAAGGGUUUAGACAUAAUGAACAUUUUCAUCUGUCUGAUUCUCUAACCUCUUGAUAUGAUCCACACAGCAAUAUGCAGAUCCCUGAGAAAAUUACUUCCUUCACUUCACUUACAUACCAAAGUUUUUUCUUUUUACAAUAGCCAUGUGUCAGAUCUGGUGGACUCAUGUGCAAUUAGUCAUGAGGGCGAAUUUUGCCCCUGGUUUUAGAAAACCAAAACACUCUGAUAGUGCCCCCAAUGGCAUGGGGCUACCAUUUGCUGGUUGCUUUAGAGGACGUCUCUAAAGGCCAUUUGCAGGGAGUUGAAAGCAGNUGAAGGUUUUGCCUUUUUAUUCUGCAUGAGAAUGGUCAGAAACAAUUGGUGGGCCACUAUGUGAGACAGCAUACUGGACUAGAUGGGCCAUGGCCGGAUCUCGUAGGGCUUUUCUUAUGUUCUUAUGCAGAUCAAAGUCCCAGAAGCUUCAGACCAUAUGCAGUGUGUGUGGUCCAAUUUCUGAGUCUAUUUCCAGUCUUUCACUUUCUGGUCAGAUUCCAUCUGUAGAAGUAUUCCAGCCACCAAGGAGGGCUGAAGAGCAUUCGGACAUUUGUCUGAGGCCUUUCUGCUUCUGCUCCUCCCAGUGGUUCCAUUCAGCCCCAAAUGAGAGUACAUGUGGAUAGAGCAUGACUAUCACCUCUGCAGUACUAUUGGCAUAUUGACAGCAAGGGUCUCAUGUAUGUGGCGCUACUGGUAUUAUUGGUUUCCUUAAUUGCCACAGAUGGUACUUGCAUAUCAUACUUUUGUACCACCUGUGGUUUGUGUGAACCAGACUACAAGAGAUAAUGAAGUCAGUUUAAAGAAUUUCUCCCUCUGCUAAUUUUGCAUGGCCCUAACAUUAGCAGGUUAAUUUUGCAAUAGAGAAGCAAUGUAUUUAAGGAAAACUAUAUCUCUGAUGCUUCAUAGAGGCUUGGGAUAUAAUUUGUCCAUUCCUAAAAUCGUUGAAGCUCCCUAUAAGAUCUAGAAACUUCUCAUAUUUCUCCUUUCACAAUUCUUGCAAUCCAACCUUUUAUUAUUCUAU